GGAUUAGUAGUGCAUCAGGUUAAAGCACGCGCUCCUGAAUGGAGUGGGGUGCGGGUUCGAGUCCCGCUUAGUGCA